AACGCACCUUGCGCUCCUUGGUAUUCCGAGGAGCAUGCCUGUUUGAGUGUCAUUAAAUUCUCAACCAUACCAGCUUUUUGGUUGGUAUUGGCUUGGAUGUGGGGGUCUUUUGCUGGUCUCGAUGAGGUCUGCUCCCCUGAAAUACAUUAGCUGGUGCCCUGCGUGGACCAUCUAUUGGUGUGAUAAUUAUCUACGCCGUGGAUGUCUACUUAAAUUGGGAUUGUACCGCUUCUAACCGUCCAUUGAAUUGGACAAUUAAUGACUAUUUGACCUCAAAUCAGGUAGGACUACCCGCUGAACUUAA
rnacentral:misc_RNA from 1 species